ensembl:lncRNA
AAAUACUAUUAGUUUGAAGUACUCCAAAUGAUCAAACACCAUGAAGUAACAGAAAUUAUGAGUGAACUAUGUAUAAAGAAGAGCCCUACAAGUCCGAAAGUCCAGAGUCGGAGAGUGUGUAUUGUCCAGGAGGAAGCAGAUCAAGAUUUUUAGCCUAAGAUCCACUGCUGGAUAGGAAAAGGAACAAUUUCAAAAUGUCAAUAAACAAUGAUCUCAAUUGCUCACCAAGACUAAAAAAAUGCAUGGUUCUGAGUGAGAAGGAUGUACUUACUGAAGAGAGAAGACCCACCCUGCAUGUGAGUAGCACCAACCAAUAGGCCUGUGGCUGGAGAGAAUAAAAAGGGAAAGCAGAGGAAGGAUGCAGCCUCCUGUCUCUCACAGUAUGAACUGUUUCACCUUUCCCCAUCUGCCAUACUGCCCUGCCUUGAAGACAGUUGACUAUGGACUUGAACUUCUGCAAAUUGUGAG